rnacentral:lncRNA from 1 species
GUUAAAUCACAUUGUAAGUGCAUCAAUUUAGUAUCUCCAAGAGCAUAUUUUGAAAGAUCGAAUUAUCACAUAAAUCUUAUUUGGAUGCAUUUCAUUGAAUAUUCAACUAAUUCCAAUGUUCUACAAAUAUAUAAAUAACUAUUCAGGUCAUUAAAUAGAAAACCCUCGUUAUCAUUGACACGUGUCUUGUUUGUCAACAUAACUCACAAGAUCUUUUACCUUCUCAAAAACAUCUCAUUUUUUUCUUAUUAUUUUUUAAAACAUAUAUAAAAUUACACAUAAAUUUCUUUCAGAAUUUCUUUUGAAAAGUGGGAAUUAUCUAGCAACUAUUAUAACACAAUAAAAC